rnacentral:rRNA from 1 species
ACGAAGAACGACGCUGGCGGCACGCUUAACACAUGCAAGUCGGACGGAGGUGUAAGGGCUUGCUCUUACACUUAGGUGGCGGACGGGUGAGUAACACGUGGGAACAUAUCCUGUAGUGGUGGAUAGCUCUGGGAAACUGGAGGUAAUACAGCAUAAGCUCGAGAGAGGAAAGAGAGAUCGCUAUAGGGGUGGCCCGCGGCUGAUUAGGUAGUUGGUGGGGUAAAGGCCUACCAAGCCGAGGAUCAGUAGCUGGUCUGAGAGGAUGGACAGCCACACUGAAACUGAGAUACGGUUCAGACUCCUACGGGAGGCAGCAGUGGGGAAUAUUGGACAAUGGGGGCAACCCUGAUCCAGCGAUGCCCGCGUGAGUGAAGAAGGUCCUAGGAUUGUAAAGCUCUUUUGACAGGGAAGAUGAUGACGGUACCUGUAGAAUAAGCACCGGCUAACUCUGUGCCAGCAGCUGC